GAUGAACGCUGGCGGCGUGCCUAAUACAUGCAAGUCGAGCGAACAGACGAGGAGCUUGCUCCUUCGACGUUAGCGGCGGACGGGUGAGUAACACGUAGGCAACCUACCUAUAAGACUGGGAUAACUUCGGGAAACCGGAGCUAAUACCGGAUAAUAUUUCGAACCGCAUGGUUCGAUAGUGAAAGAUGGCUUUGCUAUCACUUAUAGAUGGACCUGCGCCGUAUUAGCUAGUUGGUAAGGUAACGGCUUACCAAGGCAACGAUACGUAGCCGACCUGAGAGGGUGAUCGGCCACACUGGAACUGAGACACGGUCCAGACUCCUACGGGAGGCAGCAGUAGGGAAUCUUCCGCAAUGGGCGAAAGCCUGACGGAGCAACGCCGCGUGAGUGAUGAAGGUCUUCGGAUCGUAAAACUCUGUUAUUAGGGAAGAACAAACGUGUAAGUAACUGUGCACGUCUUGACGGUACCUAAUCAGAAAGCCACGGCUAACUACGUG
rnacentral:rRNA from 1 species